UAGAGAGCUCAUUUAGUGAGCAGUGGAGUAGGAUUUAUUGAAAUGGAAUUUGGCAAGCCCUCUCACAAGGUAGAUGCCCAGGCUGCAGUGCAGAACGAGAGUGAUCCUGCAGGGGAUCAGGGAGGCAGGCCAAGCACAUCUGGUGAGGCUGACAGCUCGCCAAUCCCCAAGCCUCACCCCCUUGUUUGUAUUUAAUCAGCUACACAUUCCCGUUUAUGCCUCCGUCUAUCACCCAGAGUGAUUUCAAAUAAGGAAGUGCGACUAACGUUGCAGAAAGCCAGCAGCCACCUUGUCCGAGCGACACACAGGAACGUCGUCGUUCUGUUAAUGAUUUACAAGUGCACUGGGUCGCAUUCUGAGCCAUCCUUUCCGCUUCAAAAACACUUUUGCGAGCUGUGUGUCAAACUGACCAAGGAGACCACUUUAAUGGAAAGCACACGGCCCCAUCGGGACUUGCUCACUGACUAGGAAAGACGCAGCUUCUGUGAGGAGACAACCUGCUGGCCUGAGCGUUCCAACAGAGCUUGCUCUGAAACCCCACAUGAGACGCCACACCUUGAAUAAGGAAUGCGCCCCAGCAACUCUGAGAAACACUUCUGUGUGCUCCAAGCAAGCAAGCAAGCAAAAAAAAAAAAACUAUUUGAGAAAGCAUCCGGUAAGCAGAGAAUGCCUGGACCGACUUCAUUAGCAUUGGCUUCAAAUGGAGAGAGAGCCUGGUCUUGCGCGAGCCCAUCGCUGCCCUUUGUACCUCACACAAUAACUUGGUUUCUCUGAGCAGUGAACCAUCUUCUCUUCAAAUACAGGCUGAAGACGUAAGCGAGAUGUCCCAUGAGCACGUCCCAGAGAUGAGAGCCAUUACCCCAAACAAGGCCGACUCAACCAGGCGUAAGACACUGUCGUGAUGAAAUCACCUUUCCAGUCCAGACAAUGCGGUGGCUGAACCGACAUCGCAAUAUUCAUCUGAGGAACACAACAGACCAAUACAUUUAAACGGUACUUUGCAGUAGCCAAUUCAUUUUAGCUUAAAACACUUUUAACGAGUGAAUGUUUGGCACUCGCUAUUUAUCAAGGAGUCGUCUGGGCAUCACUGGACGCUGCGUGUCGUUACCUUGAUGUGUACCUUCAAUUAAACACACUCAUGAAGGAGAAUUAAUUGAGUAUGCGAAAAGACAUUAAACAAUAUACACUGGGGCGUUACAGUUACAUUAUUCCAUCUAGGGUUUCUGUGACGUCAUGAAUUACGAGAGCGAAGGUCGAGUCAUUUAUAAACUGUCACAGAAACCCGAGGUGGAAUUGUUUUCCUGUAACUCAUUCAUGGG